UAUAAUGAGAAAACUCACUCCAGUUGAGAAAACCCAAGAAACCCACAUAUGUGGCUAGGAUUCAGCCACGUCACAUCUGCCACAUUGAUAAGUGAGGGGUAUAUACGUCAUUUUGCAUUAUUGCAGAAAAUGUAACAGUCAUUUUCCCUCUCUACAAUUAAAACUCACCAUAUCUUUUUAAAACUCACCAGAUCUCAUUUCCUCCUUCAUCUCUCUUCUCUAUCACACUUUUCCCUCUCCCUCUCACUUGUUCCAAUAUAGAGAAAACAACAACAAAAAUGAAAUUGGAGAAACUGAUGAGCAUUAGAUCCAUGUAGACUCCAUCUAGAUCUAGAUCUGGACCGUCAUCUAGAUCUGGAUCCAUCAUGUUUCUUUUAAACCCGUUAAGAUCUAGAUCUGGAUCCAUCAUGUUUCUUUUCAAACCCCAUGAAGACGGAUUCUCUUUGGUUUAUUUUAAAGAAAAUCUUACACGAAGAAGAUGAUGAACCAGAUAUCGAAGAGAAGGCUGAAGUUUUUGUUCGAAACCAGGGAAAGAUCAGGUGAAAUUACACAUUUUUUUUUACGUUUUUGAGGAGGCUGAAGGGGUUUGUUCGAAAAUCUUGUUCAAGAAGGUGAAUAAAUCUGUACCGACCAAAACAAUUUGAAGUUGAUGUUUCAGAUGUUGAAGAUGAUUCAAAAGAUGUUUGAUGUUAAACAUAGUUACGAAAUGUAACAAUCAAAGAAAAAAUGCAUGUUACAUUUUUUCGUGUUACAUGAAUAAUGCACGUUACUGAAAAUAAAGUGGAUUGUUACACUUUUUAGACUGUUGUAAAAAUAAAGUGUGUUGUUAUAUUUUUACCAGAUUAUUGUAAAAACAAAGUGACUGUUACAGAAACAAAGUGUGUUGUUACAUUUUUUUUUUGUGUUAGAAAUGUAACAAUCAAUCAAAGCAAAAAUGCAUGUUACAUUUUUUUGUGUUACAAAAAUAAUGUCCGUUACAGAAAAUAAAGUGCAUUUGAUCAUGUAAAAAUUAUAUGUUACGUUUCUGUGUAAUAUUUUAUGUUAUAGAAAUAAAGUGUGUUAUUACAAA